rnacentral:rRNA from 1 species
UGUCGUCAGCUCGUGUUGUGAAAUGUUGGGUUAAGUCCCGCAACGAGCGCAACCCUUAUCCUUUGUUGCCAGCGGUUAGGCCGGGAACUCAAAGGAGACUGCCAGUGAUAAACUGGAGGAAGGUGGGGAUGACGUCAAGUCAUCAUGGCCCUUACGACCAGGGCUACACACGUGCUACAAUGGCAUAUACAAAGAGAAGCGACCUCGCGAGAGCAAGCGGACCUCAUAAAGUAUGUCGUAGUCCGGAUUGGAGUCUGCAACUCGACUCCAUGAAGUCGGAAUCGCUAGUAAUCGUAGAUCAGAAUGCUACGGUGAAUACGUUCCCGGGCCUUGUACACACCGCCCGUCACACCAUGGGAGUGGGUUGCAAAAGAAGUAGGUAGCUUAACCUUCGGGAGGGCGCUUACCACUUUGUGAUUCAUGACUGGGGUGAAGUCGUAACAAGGUAACCGUAGGGGAACCUGCGGUUGGAUCACCUCCUUACCUUAAAGAA